GAGAGAGUAACAAAGAGAGGGAGAGGGAGUGAGGCUGGUGUGGAAUGGAGCUGAUAAGGGGAGAGAGACAGAGGCUGAGACAAACUGAGCAGAGAGAUAGAGGAAGACAUAUAAAAAAGGUGCAGUCCACGCGGGGGGAAACGUGCCUCUGUUAUUACGUGAACGAAACGUGAUCUCCAUGACGACUGAGCAAAUUGCUGAAGGCUACAAGAUCCGACUAAAAGCUCCAGAAGAAGUCCACGGCCUGUCCCACUCUCUCCACACGGAGGAACUCUAUUUGCCCAGACUUGUUGCAGUCACCUGAAACUAGCCAUGUGCAUAACACAGCAGAAGACUGUCCAUCCAACCCCUGCAGCACUGUGAUGUGUAGGCUGUGGUUGCAAGUGGCUGAUGUCAUGGGCAUCUAAUUUGCAUGUGCUCUUGCAUUGCUUCUGUUCCUGUGUUCAGCAGUGUGAGGUCCUACACAACUUAAGCUGCCAGUAUGCUUCUUCAGAAGUGCUAGUUGGACAGUCAAAUACUUUCAGAGCCCCCCCUCGCACACACACACACACCUUUCAGCCGCUGGAUUUGGGGGGGCCGUGUCCGACCAUUUCUGUAACUUAACCAAACCGACGAUCCGACAUUCACACCCACUUCACGCUGACUGGUCAGCUGAGUGCAGGUGAGAAAGGAGCCAGGGUUUGAACUUCUGUCAGCUCUCUGUUUUCAUUCUUCACACAACAAUUCCUGUCUCUUUUCAUGUGAACAACCGAGUGCAACACCAUGAAUGUCUUCCAGGAGAAGCUGUCUGAAAAUGUGCACCAUUAUCCUCAUAUUCAAACAAUAUCACGUCCCCAACCAAAGAAAAAGCAAAUCAUAAUGACGCACAUGAUUUAUGCAGCAGUUAAGCAACCAAGAGGGACUUUGGUUUAAGAACCGAUAGAUGCUUUCUGGCGAUGAAACUGAACCCACGACCUUGAAACAGGAAGCAACUUCCAAAACAAGAAUAAUCAUUUCUGCCUCAUUCCGUUGCCACAGAAGAGUGGUGGGCGAUGAUUUUGACCCAACGGCACUCGGCAUCAAUCUGAAUCAAAGGAGGAGAAGUUGUGGGCAGUCCACACUGUCUGUUUUGUACUGCUGCUCCAUUCUGCGCUGCCAGAUUGGACGGGGGGAAAGAUGGUAGGAACAGAAGAUAAUUGGAGAGUGGAUGAAAGGGAGAGGCAUGCAGGGGGAAGGAGAGACACAGAUAAAGGGAGACAGAGCGGUCGAGAGGUUGAGAUGAAGUGAGCGAAAAAAGUGAGGGGGGGGGUAGAGGGGUUGGCGAGAGAGAAAGAGGCUAAACAAAGAGUUACUUGACAGGAAGAGAGUAACAGGGAGGUGCACAAUGUGUUCGAACGUGAGGAGAGGGAGAAACAGAGAGGCAGAGUCCAAAUGAAAAGGAGAAUAAUGGAGAGGGAAGAGCAGGAGGAGAGGAAGAUGCUUUCUGGUGAUGAAUGUGAGAGGCACUUGAACACAACUGCCUGUUGUUCUGAAAGAGACAGUUCCCCCCUCUGCUCUCGCCUCUGUCCCCAUGUCCCUCAUGAGCUAUUGAUUUAAAAUAAAUAUGUCCAUUUUUAAAUAAUCCUGUAUUGUUGGGAAAUUGAUUGAAUCUCUGUAUUUUCUUUGCUGGAGGAUAAAUUCCUGCAUCGUGCACUUUCUUCUUUAUCUGGUCAACCAUGGUAGCUGUCGCUGCUUGUGCUAGUCGCUCUUCUUGGUCACUGCAUGGCUGCUGGAAAAUAAAAUGGAUUCAUGUCCUGUGCACCAUGAGGAUUAUUCCCGAGAAAGAUAAACGAGACGCUGAGUGUGUUAAAGCUUUUGAGAACUGGUCAUGCAGCCAUGGGAAUUACAUCCAUACCGGCCGAUUAACAUCCAAUGCUAACAUCCAGUGCUCAUGCAGGAAGUAGUCGUCCCGAUGUAGCGAGGUGGAAAGUAAAGGUUUGGAGUUGGUGUUGGACGGGCAGGAAGCACGUCGGACUUUCAUGCAGGAGACCAGUUGUGUCCCAGCCCUGCUAUUAAUGUUCACCUUUUUAUUAACUGUAACCACAGUCGUUCCCUAAGCUUAACCAUAUUAUAUUUGCCAUGUGCAGAUACUAUAGGAAGCAACAAUAAAAACAAAAAAAAAAACUAAAAAUUGUCAUUGGCCAUAAUUUGGGGUUUGCUGAAGUGUCUACAUGGUGAUAUCACAACAUUUUCCCUGGUUUUCCUGGACACCUCUUCCCUCCUUGAAGCUGUGGUUUUUCAGGUGAUCUCCUCAAACUAUUUUCUACUUUUUUCACGGCGCACCCUGCAACGACCCUGGCUCCGCCCAAACGCUAGUAUGUGCAUCCUUUUUUUAAGAAGCAUUUCCCAUGAGUAAACUUUAGUCUUUUACUGGGGCUGCUGGGAUACAGCUACUACACACAUACACAUAAUCGCAUUAACGUAUAAGCAGUGCUUCUACGUCUACAUGUAUGUAAUCUGCCAUGCGAGUCCUAGAUGUUUAGUUGCUUUACACCUGAGAGUGAUGGGUGGACAGAAUUUGCCGGCUCGCUUUGCGCUGCCUCGUUUGCAUGAACCUCCCACCUGUUUCCGCCUCUCCUCCCACCUGUGCACCGUGCGCUCUGCGCUGGACACCAAAACACCACACAGCUGGGCUACCAAACAAAAACAGGGCCCUUAGUCUUGUUUUUCAUUCUCUCUCUCACAGACACUCACACACUGAUCUCGACACUGAUUGAUUGAUUGAUUGAUCCCACCCUUGGGAAUCUUUGCUUGGGAGUUAAGUAAAGGAACAGCAGGAACAUAAACACUGACAGUCACAGAAGCAAGCCCAUUUAAAACACUUUAGAAAGCCAGCAUGUGGUGUGGUGAAAGGUCAGCAGCUCCAUCACUGGAUGUAUACAUGUGCACAGGGAAAAGCCAAAAGUUCAGCUUUUUGUCGAUCUUGUUUAGUAUCUUGUUUCUUACAGUACUUAGCCAUUUCAAUGGUAAACUUUACCUUUAAAAGUCAAGUUUAGCUUCCAACAAGCAACUAUGAAACAUAGUUCAACUAGAAUGCACACAUACAGUAAAGUGAACUCAAACCCUGCCACUGUGUACUGCCUGUUUCCCUGCCUGCUCACUGCCUGCCUCUCUGUAUAUCUACAUGUCCAUGACCCCUGUUUGUUUGUCCAUGUGUCAGUACUGUGCAUCUCAUGUCCAGGUGUACUGUGUGUGUUUCUGCUUCUCAAGAAAAUGUGUCAAAGAGGUUUUAGGGGAAACUCCGAUCAAAGCAGAGACAGAAGGGAAAGUAACAUGACAACAGAGAGAGAGUCUCUGUCCUCCUCUCUCUCUCUUUCACUACUUUGAUCAAUAAACCUCUACUGUAUGUGCAUAAAUUAUUUCCUGUGACAGCAUGCAGCCCACGUUCCCAUUUGUUUCUUGAUAAAAGACAUAUGACAUGUUGUGGAAACUGAAUGCUUGCCUUGUUCUGUGAGUUGAAAUUAGCACCACUCUUUUGUUUAAUUAACUAGAUCAUUUUAAUUAUUUUUCUUCUAAUUCAUCUCAUAAGUCUCAGAUCUUAAUCUUAACAGGGGGA